rnacentral:tRNA from 1 species
GGCUGUGUGGUCUAGUGGUAUGAUUCUCGCUUUGGGUGCGUGAAGUCUCGAGUUCGAUUCUCAACUCAGCCC